GUUUGAGCUCAGGUCCAUCGCCAGCGACCCCGACGAGAGCCAUGUGUACUGCGUGAACGACUUCACGUUCCUGGUGGACAUCGUGGACGGCCUCAGCAGUAACCUGUGCAAGAGCGUCAAGGGUCCAGGUGUGAAGAGUGUGGACGAGAUUGAGUUCAGGUCCAUCGCCAGCGACCCCGACGAGAGCCACGUGUACCGCGUGAACGACCUCAGCAGCAACCUGUGCAACAGCGUCAAGGGUCCAAGUGGGAACAGAAACCACACACAAAAAAAUUCAGUCCUACUCUCAUUCACAGAUUCAUACAGGUCGUUUUCGGUCAAGCUAACAGUCAGAACCUAUAAUAUCCGAUCACAAACUUUUGACGAUAUUUCAUUAUUUGCAAUUACUUCAACAACCCUAAUUUAGAGAUUUUUUUCAAAUUCUUCUUCUUAUCUUGUUGUCAUUUCCAAAUUAUAAUUCUUGCUCUAGAUGAAGACACCUUUAGCAGAUAAAUCAAAUAAAAAAAUGAAUUGAUUUAGAUUUUUUAUUUACUGGAGGUUUAUGAUGAGGGCGUCUCCACUAUGUGGGUGAGAUGGGAGAAGGUGCCCAGAGCCACCGGCUACAUGCUGCUCUACAGACCCAUCAGUGCCAUCGAGUCACAGCUGGUUUAUGAGGUAAAGAAAUGACAGUGUUUUCAGCAAGUGAAGUACUUUGAACUUGCCUCACCAGACCACCUGCAAAGAGGUCUGAAACCUGAAACUCAAAUCUGGAUGCUACCUUUAGGAGUUCCUUGCUCUGAUUUGCUACUCCCUUUUGGUGCUACCUUUGGAUGUUUCCUUCGGUGACUCCCUUAGGGUGGCAUCUUUGGAAGCUCCUUAGGAUGCUCCUGUUUGCCCCUCCCUUUUGGUGCUACGUUUGGAUGCUCCGUUUGGACACUCCCUUUGGACACUACCUUUGAAACUCUUUAAGCAUGCCCCCUCGGGGUGCUCCUGUUUGCCACACCCUUUAGACCUUUAAAAGCUCCCUUUUGGGGCUACCUUUGGAUGUUUCCUUUGGACAAUCCCUUUUAGAACCCUAAGGGUGGUCCCUUAGGAUGUACCCUCAGGAUGCUAAAGGUUGCCUUUUGGUGCUACCUUCAAAUACUUCCUUUUGGUGCUUCCUUUGAAUGCUCUUUCUGGAACCACACUUUUGACACUCCCUUUGGAAGUUCCCUUGGAAAUCUCCCUCUUGGACACUCCUUCUGGAACCUCGCUUGGGAGCCUCCCUUUUGACGCUCCCCUUUAGUGCUUUGGAUCUUAUUUUGGUGAAGUGUAACAAACUGGUCUUAAUACAAUGACACUGUAUCUGCUCUCCGUCCUCCUGUAGCUACGAGUUGGAGGAAACAUCACAAGCAUUCAGCUGGAGCAGCUGAUUCCCAACACGGUGUACGACAUCACACUCCACGCGCUGUUCAGAGAAGCUCAGGAAGGAAGAGGAGUCACCUUGCCCAGGCCUCCUGCUGGAGUCCUGACCAUCUCCGACGUGACCCACAGCACCAUGAUGCUCCGCUGGGACGCUGCUCCUGGAGCCGUGCACAAAUACAUGAUCACGUACAAACCAGAAGGUGGCGACCUCAGUGAGGUGAGACUCGUGUUUUUUUUUUGUUUUUAAGGUUUUAAAAAAAACAAAAAACGCGACGAGAUGUUAAAUUGAUGUCCUCAUUUCCAACGGGAAGACUGUGAGCGUUUUUGGGCUUUAU